CUGUUCGUUUGGUACCUCUUUGUGUAUACAGUCUUUUUUUUUCUCUUUUUUGAAAAUUAAUAAAAAUCUCUACAGUGGGGUUUCCCCUGCUGUACUUUUGGGUAAAAAAAAGCUGGACCCUGUGGCAUCAUGUACAUCAGGACACUCCACCACAUUGUAUCUGACAGAUAUGUCAAAGGAGUUUCUAGGAAGCCUGCAAGGAUGCGAGAAUCCCAUUGUUCAACAUAUACACAACAUUCAUGUUUAUGAAUCCUCUAAUUCUCAAGCAGUAAAUAAAUUCUGCUUUGAGCCAUACCUCUCCACGAAGUUCGGCCCUGGUGCAACUAAGUAUGCCCCUACUUACCAGGGCUCAUCUGGCAUUUGACAAUCGCCAUCAACAACGUUGAAUUCAGGAAAUAUUCGGCAUCUGUUUCCAUGGAGGCUGAAGCAUGAGUUUUGGUUGACAAAUUCUGUACUCCCACCGUAUAGGAUUUAUAUGUCGUUUAGGACAGCAACACGAUCUCCAAAACACAACUUUAACCUCUUAUUUUUAUAAAAAUAUUUAGGAAAAAAUAAUAUAUGUAUACUUCUAUGAAAGUAUUUUUCAAGACAAAUCUAUUCAUAUAAUUUUCAAAUUUGCAAACUCAAUAAUUUAAAAGUUAUUGAUGAUUUAUAUUUCCAAUGUUUGAUCCAAACCUUAUUCAAAACGACAUCUAAAUCCUAUACGGUGGGAGUAUUUGCUGAAAUAUCCAGCACAAAAAUAAUAAAUGCUUGAACAGGCUGCCACAGAUUAAGAUGUGAGAGUGGCAGUGGCUUCCUGAGCUCCGUGGAACCUGGAACAUUUUAUGAUAGCAUGGCCUGUAGGGGAAUUUUCAUUGUACCACCGCUAGACUUGGACAGUUUGUACUUUGUACUGAUUGUAUGUAUGUAAAUUGUGAGUUUACCAAAGUAUUGGUUCAAAAAGUCACAAGAUGGUUAAUAUAUCUUGUCUGUAAUAGAUUCGUUUUUUAGCCAUUUGUUACUCAUGGAUUUCGGCCCUCACUAGUGAAAUGUCUUUUGUUGUAAUAUUUUAGAAUUGACAACAAACGUGUGUAAGUUAACAGACUGCAUUUGUGUAGCUUAAACGAACAAGGCCACAUGAGUACAUGACCGAUUCA